UUUAGCCUUUCUAGCCAUCCAUAAUCUUGUAUUUAUUCGUUGUUAACCCCGUUGAGCCUGUACCCCCUUGUUUGUGUAAACCGUCUUGUUAACCAUAAGCCAAACACUUCCUACCCUCGCUCGGCAUGACUGUUGUAGUGUACAAAUUGUGCAAAAAGAUAAGUUUGGGGGUGGUAAUCCUUAGAAGAAAUUUUGAAAAAGGGGCAAGUGCAACAAAAAGGAAAAGAAAAACUGUGUAGAAACAUUCGCUUCUA
rnacentral:lncRNA from 1 species